UAGGGAAUCUUGCGCAAUGGGGGAAACCCUGACGCAGCGACGCCGCGUGCGGGAUGAAGGCCUUCGGGUCGUAAACCGCUUUCAGCAGGGACGAAAUUGACGGUACCUGCAGAAGAAGGCCCGGCCAACUACGUGCCAGCAGCCGCGGUGAUACGUAGGGGUCUAGCGUUGUCCGGAAUUAUUGGGCGUAAAGAGCUCGUAGGCGGUUCGGCAAGUCGGAUGUGAAAUCUCCACGCUUAACGUGGAGGGGCCAUUCGAAACUGCCGUGACUCGAGUCCGGUAGGGGAGUUCGGAAUUCCCGGUGUAGCGGUGAAAUGCGCAGAUAUCGGGAGGAACACCAGUGGCGAAGGCGGAACUCUGGGCCGGAACUGACGCUGAGGAGCGAAAGCGUGGGGAGCGAACAG
rnacentral:rRNA from 1 species